rnacentral:rRNA from 1 species
CCUACGUGAGGCAGCAGUGAGGAAUAUUGGUCAAUGGUCGGGAGACUGAACCAGCCAAGCCGCGUGAGGGAUGAAGGUACAGAGUAUCGUAAACCUCUUUUGUCAGGGAACAAAGGCGGGGACGUGUCCCCGGAUGAGUGUACCUGAAGAAAAAGCAUCGGCUAACUCCGUGCCAGCAGCCGCGGUAAUACGGGGGAUGCGAUCGUUAUCCGGCUUUAUGGGGUUAAAGGGGUGCGCAGGCGGUCUGUUAAGUCAGCGGUCAAAGCCCGGGGUUAAACCCCGGCCCGCCGUUGAAACUGGCAGUCUCGAGUUGGAGAGAAGUAUGCGGAAUGCGCGGUGUAGCGGUGAAAUGCAUAGAUAUCGCGCAGAACUCCGAUUGCGAAGGCAGCAUGCCGGCUCCACACUGACGCUGAGGCACGAAAGCGUGGGUAUCGAACAGGAUUAGAUACCCCUGUAGUC